rnacentral:rRNA from 2 species
UGCGUCCUACGGGAGAAAGCAGGGGAUCUUCGGACCUUGCGCUAUUGGAUGAGCCUAAGUCGGAUUAGCUAGUUGGUGGGGUAAAGGCCUACCAAGGCGACGAUCCGUAGCUGGUCUGAGAGGAUGAUCAGCCACAUCGGGACUGAGACACGGCCCGAACUCCUACGGGAGGCAGCAGUGGGGAAUAUUGGACAAUGGGGGCAACCCUGAUCCAGCCAUGCCGCGUGUGUGAAGAAGGCUUUCGGGUUGUAAAGCACUUUCAGUAGGGAGGAAAACCUUAUGGCUAAUACCCAUGAGGCUUGACGUUACCUACAGAAGAAGCACCGGCUAACUCCGUGCCAGCAGCCGCGGUAAUACGGAGGGUGCAAGCGUUAAUCGGAAUUACUGGGCGUAAAGCGCGCGUAGGUGGUUUGGUAAGCGAGAUGUGAAAGCCCCGGGCUUAACCUGGGAACGGCAUUUCGAACUGUCAGACUAGAGUGUGGUAGAGGGUAGUGGAAUUUCCUGUGUAGCGGUGAAAUGCGUAGAUAUAGGAAGGAACACCAGUGGCGAAGGCGGCUACC